UACGUAGGGGGCAAGCGUUGUCCGGAAUCAUUGGGCGUAAAGAGCGUGUAGGCGGUCCGGUAAGUCCGCUGUGAAAGUCGGGGGCUCAACCCUCGAAUGCCGGUGGAUACUGUCGGGCUAGAGUGCGGAAGAGGCGAGUGGAAUUCCUGGUGUAGCGGUGAAAUGCGCAGAUAUCAGGAGGAACACCAGUGGCGAAAGCGGCUUCCUGGUCCAGCACCGACGUUCAGGCACGAAAGCGUGGGGAGCAAACAGG
rnacentral:rRNA from 1 species